UGUCUGGCUGCAUCUAAUCCUUUUGGUGUUAAAAAGUGUUUUGCAUAGAAGAUGUUGAAAUUAUAGCGGUUUUUUCUAAAUAAACUGACGGUUAUAGGUACAGAGUCUGACAGGACUUUGCCAACAAAAUUUUCAGGUUUCGCUGAAUGAAACGUGAAGUGGUGAUAAUUAAGUUCUAAAAGGCUGCAGUAUUUUUUUAAACAUUGCUGAAGGUAUUUCCUCCAAUCAUAAAACAACAGCAGUUUUCUUCAUAUCUCAGUUAACUAACUGGGAAAUAUUAUGAAAAUUUCUACUGAAAUUGUUCACACUUUCUGCAAUCUGCAA
rnacentral:lncRNA from 1 species